rnacentral:rRNA from 1 species
UACGGGGGGAGCAAGCGUUGUUCGGAUUUACUGGGCGUAAAGGGCGUGUAGGCGGCCACCGCAAGUCAGUUGGGAAAUCUCUGGGCUUAACCCAGAAAGGUCAACUGAUACUGCGGGGCUAGAGUGCAGAAGGGGCAACUGGAAUUCUCGGUUUAGCGGUGAAAUGCGUAGAUAUCGAGAGGAACACCUGCGGCGAAGGCGGGUUGCUGGGCUGACACUGACGCUGAACUGCGAAAGCUAGGGGAGCGAACGGG